rnacentral:lncRNA from 1 species
AAUAAUGGGAGACUUUAACAACCCACUGUCAACAUUAGACAGAUCAAAGAGACAGAAAGUUAACAAGGAUAUCCAGGAAUUGAACUCAGCUCUGCACCAAGUGGACCUAAUAGACAUCUACAGAACUCUCCACCCCAAAUCAACCGAAUAUACAAUCUUCUCAGCACCACACAGCACUUAUUCCAAAAUUGACCACAUAGUUGGAAGUAAAGCACUCCUCAGCAAAUGUAAAAGAACAGAAAUUAUAACAAACUGUCUCUCAGACCACAGUGCAAUCAAACUAGAACUCAGGAUUAAGAAACUCACUCAAAACUGCUCAACUACAUGGAAACUGAACAACCUGCUCCUGAAUGACUACUGGGUAAAUAAUGAAAUGAAGGCAGGAAUAAAGAUGUUCUUUGAAACCAACAAGAACAAAGACAUAACAUCCUAGAAUCUCUGGGACACAUUCAAAGCAGUGUGUAGAGGGAAAUUUAUAGCACUAAAUGCCCACAAGAGAAAGCAGGAAAGAUCUCUAAAAAGCAAACCAGAUGUAAACUAUGGACUUUAGUUAAUAAUAAUGUAUCAAAAUUGGUUCAUCAACCAUAACAAAUGUAUCACAUUAAUGCAAAAUGUUAAUAACAGGGGAAGCUUUAUGCGGGAAUGGGGGGACUGCACUAAUGGGAGCUCUGUAAUUUCUGUUCAAUUUUUCUGUGAACCUAAAACUUCUCUAAAAAAUAGUCUAUUAAUUAUUAAAUGAAGCAACAUCAAGAUGAAAUUGUGACCUGAAAGCAAAACCAGAGUGCAAUACAAAGGUAGCUUUUGUCUUGCUGGCCAGGCUAUAAGAUUUAAUAGAAUUUAGAAAACAGGAAGGGAAGAGAGGAUUAAGUGUGGCCAGAGAAGAAGACAGGAGGUACUUUUAAAAGAAAAUUAUGGUAAACAAGUGAAAUACAGCAACAGAGAAAGACAGUAGGUCAAUACUAGUAAAGCUAAGAACCUGAAACAACUGCCACUGAAAAAAGAUCUUACGAAUUUGCAAAGCAUUUUCUCCAUAUUGUACAAUAUAAUUCUGUCCUCUGUUCCCCUUUAGAACUGUGAUUAUUCUCUAUCUUUAAAAUGUUGGUCAUUCCUAAUGGGUAUGUAGAACUCCUUUUCUGCAAACUUCUUGGCAAAAUUCAGGUCAAGAGGGAUUUGGUUGGGUUGAGUAAUUUUCUAAGAGGAUCAUUUUCAUGGAUGGGAAAUUCAUUCUGAGGAUAUAAUAAGUACUCCAAAAGAAAAUAUUUUAAAUUUAUAUUUUUAAAAAGAAAAUCGACCCUUUUCAGUGUUAAUGUCUCUAUAUUAGGGUUGCAUAUACUUACAGAUAAAGAUAAUUCUUCAUGUUCAUGCUUUACA